rnacentral:rRNA from 1 species
UCGUCACACUAUCAUUAACUGAAUCCAUAGGUUAAUGAGGCGAACCGGGGGAACUGAAACAUCUAAGUACCCCGAGGAAAAGAAAUCAACCGAGAUUCCCCCAGUAGCGGCGAGCGAACGGGGAGGAGCCCAGAGCCUGAAUCAGCAUGUGUGUUAGUGGAAGCGUCUGGAAAGGCGCGCGAUACAGGGUGACAGCCCCGUACACAAAAGCGCAUGUGCUGUGAGCUCGAUGAGUAGGGCGGGACACGUGGUAUCCUGUCUGAAUAUGGGGGGACCAUCCUCCAAGGCUAAAUACUCCUGACUGACCGAUAGUGAACCAGUACCGUGAGGGAAAGGCGAAAAGAACCCCGGCGAGGGGAGUGAAAAAGAACCUGAAACCGUGUACGUACAAGCAGUGGGAGCACAGGUUUACCUGUGUGACUGCGUACCUUUUGUAUAAUGGGUCAGCGACUUAUAUUCUGUAGCAAGGUUAACCGAAUAGGGGAGCCGGAGGGAAACCGAGUCUUAAUUGGGCGUUAAGUUGCAGGGUAUAGACCCGAAACCCGGUGAUCUAGCCAUGGGCAGGUUGAAGGUUGGGUAACACUAACUGGAGGACCGAACCGACUAAUGUUGAAAAAUUAGCGGAUGACCUGUGGCUGGGGGUGAAAGGCCAAUCAAACCGGGAGAUAGCUGGUUCUCCCCGAAAGCUAUUUAGGUAGCGCCUCGUGAAUUCAUCUCCGGGGGUAGAGCACUGUUUCGGCUAGGGGGCCAUCCCGGCUUACCAACCCGAUGCAAACUGCGAAUACCGGAGAAUGUUAUCACGGGAGACACACGGCGGGUGCUAACGUCCGUCGUGAAGAGGGAAACAACCCAGACCGCCAGCUAAGGUCCCAAAGUCAUGGUUAAGUGGGAAACGAUGUGGGAAGGCCCAGACAGCCAGGAUGUUGGCUUAGAAGCAGCCAUCAUUUAAAGAAAGCGUAAUAGCUCACUGGUCGAGUCGGCCUGCGCGGAAGAUGUAACGGGGCUAAACCAUGCACCGAAGCUGCGGCAGCGAACGUAUCACUUAAAGCGAUUCAGCGGGUUACGAUUGACGGAGCGAAGCGACGUCAAAGCGUAUACAAAGUCGAGUCGGUUUAAGGAUACGUU